UCGACCAAGUCCCUACACCAAAGAGGUUAAUAAGAGAAGAGCUUCGGGAGCGAUAUACGAAGGGGUUAUGUUGGCAUUGUGACGAGCCGUGGAGCCGUGAGCAUCGCUAUAGUAAAGGGAGACUUCUUAUGAUUGAACCAAUAGAAGAAGAGGUCAUUGAACAUCCAGAAGAGAGCCUUGAACAUGAAGAAGAAGAUGCAAAAG
rnacentral:lncRNA from 1 species